CAAUAGCGUAUAUUAAAGUUGUUGCAGUUAAAAAGCUCGUAGUUGGAUUUCUGGUAGGAGCGACCGUGCCGAACUUGAUUGUUCGAGUAUUGUGUUGUCUUCAGCCAUCCUCGUGGAGAACUUUUCUAACAUUAACUUGUUGGGAUUGGGACCCGCGUCGUUUACUGUGAAAAAAUUAGAGUGUUUAAAGCAGGCAUUAGCUUGAAUACAUUAGCAUGGAAUAAUAAGAUAGGACUUUGGUACUAUUUUGUUGGUUUGCAUACCAAAUUAAUGAUCAACAGGAACAGUUUGAGGAUAUUCGUAUGAACAUGUCAGAGGUGAAAUUCUUGGAUUUUGAUCAGACGAACUACUGCGAAAGCAUUUAUCAAGGACGGUUUCAUUAA
rnacentral:rRNA from 1 species